CAGCAGCCGCGGUAAUACGAAGGGUGCAAGCGUUACUCGGAAUUACUGGGCGUAAAGCGUGCGUAGGUGGUUGUUUAAGUCUGCUGUGAAAGCCCUGGGCUCAACCUGGGAAUUGCAGUGGAUACUGGGCAACUAGAGUAAGGUAGAGGAUAGUGGAAUUUCCGGUGUAGCAGUGAAAUGCGUAGAGAUCGGAAGGAACAUCUGUGGCGAAGGCGACUAUCUGGGCCAUUACUGACACUGAGGCACGAAAGCGUGGGGAGCAAACAGGAUUAGAUACCCGUGUAGUCCCUGUCUCUUAUAA
rnacentral:rRNA from 1 species